rnacentral:rRNA from 1 species
AAUAGAUACCCAGGUAGUCCACGCCGUAAACGAUGAGUGCUAAGUGUUAGGGGGUUUCCACCCCUUAGUGCUGCAGCUAACGCAUUAAGCACUCCGCCUGGGGAGUACGGUCGCAAGACUGAAACUCAAAGGAAUUGACGGGGGCCCGCACAAGCGGUGGAGCAUGUGGUUUAAUUCGAAGCAACGCGAAGAACCUUACCAGGUCUUGACAUCCCGCUGACCGCUAUGGAGACAUAGCCUUCCCUUCGGGGACAGCGGUGACAGGUGGUGCAUGGUUGUCGUCAGCUCGUGUCGUGAGAUGUUGGGUUAAGUCCCGCAACGAACGCAACCCUUGUCCUUAGUUGCCAUCAUUCAGUUGGGCACUCUAAGGAGACUGCCGUACAAAUACGGAGGAAGGUGGGGAUGACGUCAAAUCAUCAUGCCCCUUAUGACCUGGGCUACACACGUGCUACAAUGGACGGUACAAACGGUCGCGAAGUCGCGAGACGGAGCCAAUCCGAAAAAACCGUUCUCAGUUCGGAUUGCAGGCUGC